rnacentral:rRNA from 1 species
CCCGCAACGAGCGCAACCCUUGUCAUUAGUUGCUACAUUUAGUUGGGCACUCUAAUGAGACUGCCGGUGACAAACCGGAGGAAGGUGGGGAUGACGUCAAGUCCUCAUGGCCCUUAUAGGUGGGGCUACACACGUCAUACAAUGGCUGGUACAAAGGGUUGCCAACCCGCGAGGGGGAGCUAAUCCCAUAAAACCAGUCGUAGUCCGGAUCGCAGUCUGCAACUCGACUGCUUGAAGUCGGAAUCGCUAGUAAUCGUGGAUCAGAAUGGCACGGUGAAUACUUU